UGAGAAUCUGCCCUCAGGUCUGGGAUAACGACUGGAAACGGUCGCUAAUACCGGAUGUGCCGAGAGGUGAAAGGCUAGCUGCCUGGGGAUGAGCUCGCGUCCGAUUAGCUAGUUGGUGGGGUAAGAGCCCACCAAGGCGGUGAUCGGUAGCUGGUUUGAGAGGAUGAUCAGCCACACUGGGACUGAGACACGGCCCAGACUCCUACGGGAGGCAGCAGUGGGGAAUUUUCCGCAAUGGGCGCAAGCCUGACGGAGCAAUACCGCGUGCGGGAGGAAGGCUUUUGGGUCGUAAACCGCUUUUAUUGGGGAAGAAGAUCUGACGGUACCCAAUGAAUCAGCAUCGGCUAACUCCGUGCCAGCAGCCGCGGUAAUACGGAGGAUGCAAGCGUUAUCCGGAAUUAUUGGGCGUAAAGCGUCCGCAGGUGGCUGUUCAAGUCUGCUGUUAAAGCGUGCAGCUUAACUGCAUAUCGGCAGUGGAAACUGAAGAGCUAGAGUUCGGUAGGGGUAGCGGGAAUUCCCAGUGUAGCGGUGAAAUGCGUAGAUAUUGGGAAGAACACCAGCGGCGAAAGCGCGCUACUGGGCCGAGACUGACACUGAGGGACGAAAGCUAGGGGAGCGAAA
rnacentral:rRNA from 1 species